rnacentral:rRNA from 1 species
GAUGAACGCUGGCGGCGUGCCUAAUACAUGCAAGUCGAGCGAACAGACGAGGAGCUUGCUUCUCUGAUGUUAGCGGCGGACGGGUGAGUAACACGUGGAUAACCUACCUAUAAGACUGGGAUAACUUCGGGAAACCGGAGCUAAUACCGGAUAAUAUUUUGAACCGCAUGGUUCAAUAGUGAAAGACGGUCUUGCUGUCACUUAUAGAUGGAUCCGCGCUGCAUUAGCUAGUUGGUAAGGUAACGGCUUACCAAGGCGACGAUGCGUAGCCGACCUGAGAGGGUGAUCGGCCACACUGGAACUGAGACACGGUCCAGACUCCUACGGGAGGCAGCAGUAGGGAAUCUUCCGCAAUGGGCGAAAGCCUGACGGAGCAACGCCGCGUGAGUGAUGAAGGUCUUCGGAUCGUAAAACUCUGUUAUUAGGGAAGAACAAAUGUGUAAGUAACUAUGCACGUCUUGACGGUACCUAAUCAGAAAGCCACGGCUAACUACGUG